AUUUCAUGUCUUUUGUAUUAAAGAAUUAAAUGGAUGAAAUAUGAAGUUUUAUUAAAAGAAAAAGGGGUGAAAAGAACAAAGUUUUGUCCAUCUUUGUUCAUCAUAGCUGAAAGUUAGAGAAGAGAAAGGAGAGGAGAAAGCUCUUGAGUAUUCGGUCAUUAGGAGGAGGAAAAUUGAAGGAAAUCCCCAACUAUAGUGGGCUUGGAGCUGUGAGGGAAUUCGGAGUGGCCACCCAUUCUGAAAGUUUGAUUUUCUUCUGGUGAAUUGGACAUCCUUUUAAUUACGUUUGAGGUUUUGGGCUUUUAAAUGUAAUAAGGCCACUUAUUUAUUUUUGAUAGUUUUUAAUAUGUAUUACUAAGAUAGGUAAUACUUAUUUUAACUAUUGAAAUUGGAUAA